GAUGAACGCUGGCGGCGUGCUUAACACAUGCAAGUCGAACGGAAAGGCUCCUGCUUGCAGGGGUACUCGAGUGGCGAACGGGUGAGUAACACGUGGGUGAUCUGCCCUGCACUUCGGGAUAAGCCUGGGAAACUGGGUCUAAUACGGGAUAGGACGAUGUUUUGGUUGCCAUUUGGGAAAGUUUUUCGGUGUGGGAUGAGCUCGCGGCCUAUCAGCUUGUUGGUGGGGUAAUGGCCUACCAAGGCGUCGACGGGUAGCCGGCCUGAGAGGGUGUACGGCCACAUUGGGACUGAGAUACGGCCCAGACUCCUACGGGAGGCAGCAGUGGGGAAUAUUGCACAAUGGGCGCAAGCCUGAUGCAGCGACGCCGCGUGGGGGAUGACGGCCUUCGGGUUGUAAACUCCUUUCGCUAGGGACGAAGCGCAAGUGACGGUACCUGGAGAAGAAGCACCGGCUAACUACGUG
rnacentral:rRNA from 1 species